UAGUCCACGCCGUAAACGAUGAGAACUAGAUGUUGGGGAAUUUGUCCUUCGGUGUCGCAGCUAACGCGUUAAGUUCUCCGCCUGGGGAGUACGCCGGCAACGGUAAACUACAAAGGAAUUGACGGGGUCCGCACAAGCGGUGGAGCAUGUGGUUUAAUUCGAUGAUGCGCGAGGAACCUUACCUAGGCUAUAAUGUGAGCGCAAUCUGGUGAAAGCCGGAGUAAGGUGGGGAUGACGUCAAGUCCUCAUGGCCCUUACGUGGUGGGCUACACACGUGCUACAAUGGCGCUAACAAUGGGUUAAUCCCCAAAAGGCGUCUCAGUUCGGAUUGUCUUCUGCAACUCGAAGGCAUGAAGUUGGAAUUGCUAGUAAUCGCGUAACAGCAUGACGCGGUGAAUACGUUCCCGGGCCUCGCACACACCGCCCGU
rnacentral:rRNA from 1 species